rnacentral:rRNA from 1 species
GGCCCUACGGGAGGCAGCAGUAGGGAAUCUUCCACAAUGGGCGAAAGCCUGAUGGAGCAACGCCGCGUGGGUGAAGAAGGUCUUCGGAUCGUAAAACCCUGUUGUUAGAGAAGAAAGUGCGUGAGAGUAACUGUUCACGUUUCGACGGUAUCUAACCAGAAAGCCACGGCUAACUACGUGCCAGCAGCCGCGGUAAUACGUAGGUGGCAAGCGUUAUCCGGAUUUAUUGGGCGUAAAGGGAAAGCAGGCGGUCUUUUAAGGCUGAUGUGAAAGCGUUCUGCUUAACCGGAGUAGGGCAU